rnacentral:rRNA from 1 species
UACGUAGGUGGCGAGCGUUGUCCGGAUUUACUGGGCUUAAAGAGCGCGCAGGCGGUCAAGUCAGUCGAAUGUGAAAGCCCCCGGCUCAACUGGGGAGGGUCAUUCGAUACUGCUCGACUUGAAGGCAGGAGAGGGAAGUGGAAUUCCCGGUGUAGUGGUGAAAUGCGUAGAUAUCGGGAGGAACACCAGUGGCGAAGGCGACUUUCUGGCCUGUUCUUGACGCUGAGGCGCGAAAGCUAGGGGAGCAAACGGG